GACGAACGCUGGCGGCGUGCUUAACACAUGCAAGUCGAACGGAAAGGCCCUGCUUGCUGGGUACUCGAGUGGCGAACGGGUGAGUAACACGUGGGUGAUCUGCCCUGCACUUCGGGAUAAGCUUGGGAAACUGGGUCUAAUACCGGAUAGGAGCCAUCUUUAGUGUGGUGGUUGGAAAGUUUUUUCGGUGUAGGAUGAGCUCGCGGCCUAUCAGCUUGUUGGUGGGGUAAUGGCCUACCAAGGCGGCGACGGGUAGCCGGCCCGAGAGGGUGUACGGACACACUGGAACUGAGAGACGGGCCAGAGUCCUGCGGGAGGCAGCAGUGGGGAAUAUUGGACAAUGCGCGCCAGCCUGAUGCAGCGACGCCGCGUGGGUGAUGAAGGCCUUCGGGUUGUAAACACCUUUCGCUAGGGACGAAGCUUUUUUGUGACGGUACCUAGAGAAGAAGCACCGGCUAACUACGUG
rnacentral:rRNA from 1 species